rnacentral:rRNA from 1 species
GACGAACGCUGGCGGCGUGCUUAACACAUGCAAGUCGAACGAAGUGGCGAACGGGUGAGUAACGCGUAAUCAACCUGCCCUUCAGAGGGGGACAAUAGUUGGAAACGACUGCUAUUACCGCAUACUGAAGGAGGGGAUGGCGUCUGAUGAGCUAGGUGGCGGGGUAACGGCCCACAAAGGUGAUGAUCAGGAGCGGGUAUGAGAGGAUGAACGGCCACAGUGGGACUGAGACACGGCCCAGACGCCUACGGGAGGCAGCAGUGGGGAAUCUUCCACAAUGGACGAAAGCCUGAUCCAGCCAUGCCGCGUGUGUGAAGAAGGUCUUCGGAUUGUAAAGCACUUUAAGUUGGGAGGCGUUACCAGCAGAAUAAGCACCGGCUAACUUCGUGCCAGCAGCCGCGGUAAUAC